GGCGGGCCUAACACAUGCAAGUCGAACGAGAAUGUAGACUUCGGUCUACUAGUAAAGUGGCGGACGGGUGCGUAACACGUGGGUAAUCUACCUUCCGGCGGGGGACAACAGUCCGAAAGGAUUGCUAAUACCGCAUACGUCAGCGGCGCCUACGGGCGCUGUUGGGAAAGAUGGCCUCUCCUUGGAAGCUGUCACCGGAAGAUGAGCCCGCGUCCCAUCAGCUAGUCGGUGAGGUAACGGCUCACCAAGGCUUAGACGGGUAGCUGGUCUGAGAGGAUGAUCAGCCACACUGGGACUGCGACACGGCCCAGACUCCUACGGGAGGCAGCAGUGGGGAAUAUUGGGCAAUGGGCGGAAGCCUGACCCAGCCACGCCGCGUGAGUGAUGAAGGCCUUCGGGUCGUAAAGCUCUGUGGGGAGGGACGAAUAAGCUUGGUGUUAAUAACACCGGGCCCUGACGGUACCUCCUUAGCAAGCACCGGCUAACCCUGUGCCAGCAGCCGCGGUAAUACAGGGGGUGCAAACGUUGCUCGGAAUCAUUGGGCGU
rnacentral:rRNA from 1 species